rnacentral:rRNA from 1 species
UACAGAGGGGGCAAGCGUUGUUCGGAAUUACUGGGCGUAAAGGGCGCGUAGGCGGCCUUCUAAGUCGAACGUGAAAUCCCUGGGCUCAACCCAGGAACUGCGUCCGAUACUGGAAGGCUUGAAUCCGGGAGAGGGAUGCGGAAUUCCAGGUGCAGCGGUGAAAUGCGUAGAUAUCUGGAGGAACACCGGUGGCGAAGGCGGCAUCCUGGACCAAUUCUGACGCUGAGGAGCGAAAGCUAGGGUAGCAAACGGG